CUGUAUUAAAAUGAGUCAUUUCUGGAAAGUUGAGCAUUUGGGAGGCAGUAUUGUUUUUUAUUUUAUGUUACUUAUCACCAUUAUUAAUUCAAUGCAAUAUUUUUUAAACUGUUUUAUAUCAAAUCUUCACUUUUCUUUUCACUCUGAUCACAGAACCCAAAGCAUGAAAUCUGGAAGCUGGGAGAAUUUAUUGGGAAAAAGCUGGAUGGCAGCGUCCUGGGUAAAAUUGUCCAUCACACUUCGUUUGAUGUUAUGAAGCAAAAUCCCAUGGCGAACUGCUCGGCAGUCCCCGCGGAGGUCACGGACCGCUCGGUGUCUCCGUUCAUGAGGAAAGCUGGUUCUCUCUGCGCGUCACAACCUUGAAAGAACUGUCGAGGACCCCAGAGCCUGUGGGGAGGUUUCCAUGGAUAAGACAAGGUCCAUAAUAAAUGAUACUGGGGAAGGAGAAUUUAAGAGACCACAGACGAAAUGAAACCAACGUGUAGCCACAACUAGAGAGAGCAGUCGGAGACUGGAAGAAUCACUUCAUCGUGGCUCAGAACGAGAGGUUUGACGAAGACUACCAGCGGAGAAUGGCUGGGACAAGUCUAAUUUUCCACUUCCAGUUCUAGAGAGAGAAAGUGUUCAGUUUAUUACCCAACUCACUGGGCAGCAACCCAUAGCAGCUUCAUUCCCAGACCACACAGCAUUGGGCCCAGGUUCUCAGACCAGUUGUUCGUCAUGUUUGCUUUUGUUCACUCGACAAAGAAAAGAUCAGAGUUAGCAGUGAGGGGGGACGUGGGGAGUGGGAACGGUGGGGAGAAGGUUCAAUAAAAUACUAGUUACAAACAUGGCA